AGGAUAAACGCUGGCGGCGUGCCUAACACAUGCAAGUCGAACGUCCUACGCAAGUAGGGAGUGGCGGACGGGUGAGUAACACGUGGGCAAUCUACCUUUCGGUGAGGAAUACCGGCGAGAAAUCGCCGACAAUACCGCAUACGCUUCGCAAGAAGCAAAGUCGCAAGACGCCGGAGGAGGAGCCUGCGCCCGAUUAGCUUGUUGGUAAGGUAACGGCUUACCAAGGCGACGAUCGGUAGCUGGUCUGAGAGGAUGACCAGCCAGACUGGGACUGAGACACGGCCCAGACUCCUACGGGAGGCAGCAGUGGGAAUAUUGGACAAUGGGCGAAAGCCUGAUCCAGCAAUGCCGCGUGUGUGAAGAAGGUCUUCGGAUUGUAAAGCACUUUCGACGGGGACGAUAAUGACGGUACCCGUAGAAGAACGCCCGGCUAACUUCGUGCCAGCAGCCGC
rnacentral:rRNA from 1 species